rnacentral:lncRNA from 1 species
UAUUUUCCAUAGUUUUGAAGAAUUGAUUGAGUGAAACUCAAAUUGUAUUUUCUUUCCUUAGUGUAGGGCUUGGAAAAUUCAUUGUAAUGUAGGUCUUGGAAAAGACAUUGAAACUAGGGUUAGCUUGAGUGUGGAUUCACUUGAGUUGACAUUUUGACAAAAAAGGUAGGUGCUUAAGGAGUUGAUCCCUUUGUGUCCGCCUAAGAGUGUGGUGUUAUCCUCCAUUGGUGUUGUAUGUCUUGGUGUUUGAUACACACCUUGGUGCUAUUCAUUGGUGUAGGGGUGUGUCUCACUAUCUAUCCUUCACAUUUAGGCAAUUUUCUCUUCUUUUGGUUUGAAUCCGUGUGUUCUCUUCUUCAUCUACUCUUCUCUAGUUGUUGAAUUUUGAUUUCUUAGGAGUAAUUUCAUGUUUAGUAGUUUAUUUUCUUAUCAUUUGGUAUCAGAGCCAUGUAUUAGAGUUGUUCCUACAACUCUAAGCCUUGGAUCUAAGAAAAUCUCAACAAAAAAAGAGUCUAGAGUCAAAAAAAAAUGCAAAAUAAGUGUUGAAUCUUGUGUGUUUGAUAGCCAAAUUUCUUAGCCUAGAUCUACCAAUUUUUAGAUUGUUUUGAUAGUUUCUAGUGUUAGAUUCUUGUUUUCUAGCACUUAAAGGGUCUAGAUCUAAGUUUAGAACAAGAUUUGGUUGUGUUUGAGCUAGAUCCACCAUUGUUGUGCCUUGUUUGAAGCUUUUAAAGGUGGGAUUUCGUGGCGAAUACCUUGUUUGUGGCGUGUUGUGGCUGAUCUGUUGAUAUUUUAACUUGUCUUGGCUAAAGGAACCUAGAUCUAAAAGAAAAUUUGAAUUUGGGGUUCAUUUGCCUAGUGGUCAAACCUUGGUCAACUCUUGAAUAUUCAUCUUGUUCAUCCAUCAUCUUCAAAUCUUGUUGAAGAAGAAUAUUCAAGUAGCUUGUUUGAUCCAAAAAGGGAGAAGAAAAAGAGUGUACUAAGUAAGUGUUUGCACAAGAAUAUUCCCUAGCAUAUUCUAAGUCUUCCAAAAAGGAAGAGGGGACAAGGGGACAAACAAGUACAAUUGAAAGUACACUUGAGGGGACCAAUCCAUUUUGAAUUUAUUUAAAGAUCCAAAAAGGCUUCAAACCUUCAAUUCCCCCCCUAAAACCGAAAUUUCUUCUUCUCCUAUGUGUGUUUGGCCGAAACAAGUGAAUUGGGAAUUGAAAAUUUUGAAAAGUGACGUCCAAUCACAAGCUGGCACAUCAUCGCUUAUAUAAACAACCAAAUUAAGUCUUAAAUUAGAUUUCUAAGUUUCCAUUUGUUGUUUCUAGUUGCUUUUGUGUUGAUUCUACCACUAAUUACCAAACUAGUAACUACCUACUAGGUUGAUAAUUAGUGUAGAGUUUUUUGUUUGGUGUCUACGUUUCUUUUGUGCUUUUAUCGUUUGUAAUUCAUUGUAACUUAUUGGUUCAAGUCCAUAAGCAAUUUUCUUUGAGUCAUAUCAAACGAAAAUCCAUUCCGGGCCAAAGUAGAAUCAUCCCUCACUCACUUGCCAAGUACAUGCCAAAGUUUUAACACUUCAGAGACCACGUGUGAGGUAAGAAUCCGAGAGUGAGAGAGUUGGUGAGGAUAUUUGAACUAACUUGUUUGUUCGUUUUGUAGGUUUCUUUCUUUCUUUUAGGUACCAUGGAUGCCAAUAAUUUUAAUGCCACGUUUGAUCGCAUCAAUGACCAUUGUGAUAGCUUCAUUGUCCAUGCUGAAAAUUGCAUACAAACCAUUGAAAAGAUAUGCCAAAUGCUUAGUGCACUAAAUCCCAAUUUCAGGAAAAGAGAUAAAGAGGUGAAACAAGGGAGAAGACUUGACAAACUCCCUAUUGAUGCGAGCUUGUCAAAGGAGAAAUUGGGCUGCCAUGAUCCUAACCAAGGCAAAGAAGAAUGUGCUCAAGAACUUAAAAGGUAAAAUAGCUAACUCUUACACUUUUGUGCAUGUGAACGAUGAUUGUGUGGCUAGUAGCCUAUUGAGCGUGAGUGGUAGCUUAUCUAUUUGUGAGUCUAUUGUUUCUUUGCCUCUUGAUGAUGAUGUACAUGUUGUGAGUGUGGAUACACUAGCUGAUCCUAUUGAUGACCGAAUUGACUCUUUUUGUAAGAUCAAUUUAAGUCCACCUAGUGUUGAAGCCAAUGUGAUGAAUGAAAGUACAUCAUCUAUUGAUUCUGUGCCUAUUGUUGAUGAUGUACAUGUUGUGAGAGUGGAUACACUAGUUGAUCCUAUUGAUGACCGAAUUGAAUCUUCUUGUAAGAUUGAUUUACGUCCACUUAGUGUUGAAGCCAUUGUGUUAAAUGAACGUACAUCGUCUCGUGAAACUUGUGUUGAUCAACUCGUGUGUGAAAAUUGCCCACCACUUGAGGUUAUGUGUGUUGUAAUUAAUAGAACUCAAGUGAGUGAAGAAUUUAAUAAUGUUGGUCAACAAAAUGGGAGCGAACCCGAGAGUUAUUCUCGAAACAAUCUUGUUCUUGACACCGCUUUGAAACUUGAUAUUGAUCUUUUAGAGAGUGAAGAACUCACGCGUUUCGAAUCUGCCCGUGGAUUAGAUCAUGCUCUCUUUUGGAAUAAUGUCUUCUUUGAAAAUGAUAUAAACACUCCUAAUGAGCCUAGUGGUGAAAAGGAUGGUAUAGCUUACUUUGGAGGCUAUAGCCUAUAUGCUAACCCACUAUGGUGUGACAACAUUCCUCCUAAAGAUGAAACUCUCUUCUUGAAAAAUGAGAGCACUCUUAAAGAUAAGGAAUGUGUAGUCUUGGAAAGGAAUAACCAAUUAGGUGAUGAAUGCUUUGAUUUGCUUGAAUAUUUAAGAAACCCAAUAGGCGGAUUUUCCUUGAAAAAUGAUUGCAAAUGUGAUCCUUUGUAUGACACUUCACCUUUGUUUGAUAAUUAUGAGGGUGAAUUGCUUGUUUUUUGUAAAGACUUAAGCACUAAUCCCUUUGAUUUUUAUGGUGGUAUGUGUCUACUUGAGGGAUCUUCCAUAAAAGGAGAAAGUGUCCAUUGCUUGGAAAUUACUUCUUCUACUAUGUGUGACCUUAUUGUUGAGAGUACUUAUGGCGAUGAUGUUGAAACUAGUGGUGAGUACAUACACGAAGACACCUUAGUAGAAGUUGACUUGAGUGAUACCUUUCUCUACUCUCUACUUGCUUUUGAUGAUAUGUAUGCUAUUGUAGAGAGUAUGUCGUGUAGUUUGGGUGAAGCCUACGGGAAAGGAGAGUGUUGUCUAGACCCGUGUCUAUGGCCACUCUUCCCAUUUGACCUCGGUGCCAAAUAUAGAAUUGAUGAUGUUGGCGCACCCAACUUGUUUCUUAGUUUACAUGACAAGCAAAGUAUCACUUUUGGUGAAUCCCAUAACCAAAUCCUUCGUUCAUCUUUCAUUGAAAUUUUAAUAUUUAAUUCAAAUGAUCCUUGGUUAUAUUGCAAAUAUGUGCAACCUUGGCAUGUUGAGAUGAUUUGUUGUGCUAACCCUAACCCUCAUGCCAUGAGGAGUUUGUAUUUUUUGUCCUCUCUUCGGUUUUGCAAGAUUUGGAUUCGAGGUCGAAUCCUUUUCAAGAAAGGGAGGAUGAUACAAAUCAAAUGGCCGACUUAGCUUUUGAUGACUUCUUUGGAGGCCAACACCUAAAGGCUCAAGACUUGGUUACCCUGAGGGAACAAGAAUAUGCAAGGAAGGCCCGUUUUGAGCAAGACAUAAAGCAAUCCCGUGCGUGGAAGGUUGCUUGGAUGCUUGCCUUGAUGCUAACCCAAGGACCAUAAGCCUUGAAGAAUGAACCAUACUCGAUUUUGAGAGCAUGAAAGAGGCGACAUUCAUCAAGUCCAAACACACAAGGCGCCAUUUAUGAAGAUGGAGGCUCGUGAGAGUAUAUGGCAUUCAUCCAAGGGAGUGUGUUAAUAUGUGAAGAGGGACCAUGAAUAUAAUCCAAGGCAACCUUGGAUACACUCCAAAGGCACCUCAACUUAAGGGUAUUAUGGUCUUUUAAGACGCCUCUUUUACACUCCAAAGGAGCACCCUUAAUGGGUAUUUUAGUCUUUGUUUGUAAUAAGUAUAAAUAGACAAUUAGGCUUCUAUUUUUCAUAGUUUUGAAGAAUUGAUUAAGUGAAACUCAUUGUAUUUUCUUUCCUUAGUGUAGGGCUUGGAAAAGCCAUUGUAGUGUAGGUCUUGGAAAAGACAUUGAAACUAGGGUUAGCUUGAGUGUGGAUUCACUUGAGUUGACAUUUUGGCAAGAAAGGUGGGUGCUUGAGGAGUUGAUCCCUUUGUGUCCACCUAAGAGUGUGGUGUUAUCCUCCAUUAGUAUUGUGUGUCUUGGUGUUUGAUACACACCUUGGUGCUAUUCAUUGGUGUAGGUGUAUGUCUCACUAUCUAUCCUUCACAUUUAUGCAAUUUUCUCUUUUUUUGGUUUGAAUCCGUGUGUUCUCUUCUUCAUCUACUCUUCUCUAGUUGCUGAUUUUUGGUUUCUUAGGAGUAAUUUCAUGUUUAGUAGUUUAUUUUCUAAUCACAUCACCUUUCUCGCUUCGUCUCCAUUCUUACCUUGGUGUCGUCUUUCGAAGGUGGCAUCGCCACAAAGGCAAAUGGCAACAUUGUCUUGCCUUGCCUCACCAAUCGCCAUUGGCGACAUGGUGCUCGCCAUUGAUAACACUGCUUGUUCCUAUGCCUCACGCUACCCGAGUACCACAACUUAUAUUCGUCCAUAUCCUUCAUCUUUAAACCUACCCAUUU